rnacentral:lncRNA from 10 species
GUGAGUGUGAGUGUGAGAGCGAGAACAGCCCCGCAGGUCCCGAGGCGCUGGCUGGGGACAAUGCCGCGGAAAGUUCCCAGUCCCCAGCCGCAGAUCUGCAGAAUUGAAAUGAAAUGUUUUGAGCUCUUCAAGCUGACUCGUCAGAAUCCUGGAGCCUUUUAAAAAAUGACGAAUUGGAAGGAAAAAUUACUUUAUCAAUAACCAGGCUCCACCAGGAUUGACCUAGAUGGUUGUUCCUGGCACUUGUCAUUCUCAGCAAGCACAGCUCAGAGAACAAAUACAAAAGACCCAAAGUGCAUUGCAUCUUUUAUGGAAGUGCCCAAUGUGGAAAUCAUAGAUUUCAAGGAAGGAACAAGAAAAUUGAUGAAACAAGUUCAAAAGAAAGGUACCUGUGCCUCAUCAUUCCUAAAGAACACUGAUCAAUGAUCCCAGAAGUAUGCCAUGUUCUCUUAAUUCAUCAGAGACUGAAAGCAAAGGAAAAUCAAGAAAUAAGCUUGGCCAAUUUGAUGUCAAUGGAAAUGCGUGAGAUUUUUAUUCAGCAUUCACACCUGAGCAAUGCUUUUGGUCAUGAUGUCAUACUAAGAAGAAACCACCUGAGAUGAGACUGUUAGAUGUUCAGAGCAAACAAAAACAAAAACAGACCAACAAAAAAAACCCAAAACAAAACAGAAGUUUCUGAAGGACAGCAGAAAUGGCUUUGCAGGACCACAACAACCACUCCCAGUCAUGAUGGAGAGAAGUGUUCAAUACCCACAGAUCCUGAACGUUGAGCUGAUUAUACUAACUAGAUGGGACUUAGUUUUGUCUACCGUGGGGUGAGCGUAUACUACCUGAGGGAACAGGUUCUCUAUGGUGAAGAUGGCAACUUGCUGACUCAGUCUCAGAAUGCGUUAAAUCCACAUAUUCUGAAGUCCUCAGCAGAGUGAAACUUCAUAUAUAAUAUUUUCUACAGACAAAGUUACCAUCAAUAUCAACAGCAACAACACGGCAACAGCCAACAUUUACAGAACUUUUAUUAAGUUCCAGUCACCGUAUGUGCCUGCUUCCCCUUUGCCUUCCACCAUCAUUAUAAGUUUCCUGAGGCCACCACUGCCAUGCUUCCUGUACAGACUGUGGGACUCCAUGUAAGAUGUUCCUGCUUCCCCUUUGCCUUCUACCAUGAUUGUAACUUUCCUGAGGCCUUCCCAGCCAUGCUUCUUGUACAACCUGCAGAACUGUGAGUCAAUUAAACCUGUUUUCUUUAUAAAUUACUCAGUCUCAAGUAGUUAUUUAUAGGAAUGUGAGAACAGACUAAUACAACCUCUUUUGUGGAGGUGUGGACAUUUUAAUUUGCC